UACAGAGGGUGCAAGCGUUGUUCGGAAUUACUGGGCGUAAAGCGCGUGUAGGCGGCGGCGUUAGCCGGAUGUGAAAUCCCUCAGCUCAACUGAGGAAGUGCAUUCGAUACUGCGUCGCUUGAAUGUCGGAGGGGAUGGCGGAAUUCCCGGUGUAGAGGUGAAAUUCGUAGAUAUCAGGAGGAACACCGGUGGCGAAGGCGGGUCUCUGCGCCGAUACUGACACUGAGGAGCGAAAGCGUGGGGAGCGAACAGG
rnacentral:rRNA from 1 species